GGGAUAACAGACGGAAACGACUGACAACACCUGAUACAGUUGCCGGCACGCAUGUGUCUGGCAAUGAAAAGAGAUGCUGCGGGAGAGCUUUGCGUCCUAUUAGCUUGUUGGCGGGGUAACGGCCCACCAAGGCGAUGAUAGGUAGCCGGCCUGAGAGGGUGGACGGCCACAAGGGGACUGAGAUACGGCCCUUACUCCUACGGGAGGCAGCAGUGGGGAAUAUUGGACAAUGGGGGCAACCCUGAUCCAGCAAUUCUGUGUGCACGAUGAAGGUUUUCGGAUUGUAAAGUGCUUUCCAGCAGGGAAGAAGGAAGUGACGUACCUGCAGAAGAGCGACGCUAA
rnacentral:rRNA from 1 species